GCUGAUUAUUCAUUGGGAACAAUGCUCGCUUGUUUCAGGGUUCGUUUGACGGUUAGCUGGCACUCAUUCUACGUCUAAUCACUGACGCACGCUUUUGUCCUCUGGAAAAUUAAUGUUCUCUGGCACAAGGCCGAGUUUCGUCUAUCUAUGAUUAUAUACUAUUAUCUACUGGCAACUUCAGUUCUCUCCACGUCUGUUGUAUCCGUCUACGAGAAUUAGCAUAUAACGCAGUUGGCGGUGCCGCGCGGAUAACUGAGAAAACUAAAUGAUGCCAAUUCAGCCAAUUGGAUAAUCGCUUCAUAGCCUUUUUAACGAGUUUGACAGUUCGGUAAGGCCUCGUGUGCCCAUUGACUAAUUACCAUGGACUAGGAAUAAUUAAUGGACGCUCCUGGACAAAUUGCAUCAGCGAAAAGAGAAUCCCUCUUAUCGCGCAGGAUCCGUGACUGUUUGCGGAUUACGGUUAACCUCAAUUAAUGCCGACCCUGACGCCACUAAGGGGAUUCGACCCCUAGAUCCAGGCUGGCGAAGACAAAAAACGUUUGGCCCCUAAAAAAAAAACACGGAAAAGUAGAAGAUCAAUCCUCAUUCUUCUUUCUCACCAGACGUGAAUUUAUUCUUCAGGAAGUGUGAGGGUGAGCUGAUGGUUUUCACAGAUCGUUGUAAAUCAAGAAUAAAUAUUUGCUGGUAAUAUUAACCGUGUAAGAAGUAAGAAGCGAAUCGACUGCACUCAAAGUAUACAUAUGGCUUCAUGGCAAUUUCGGUCCAGUGAUUCCUCGAUGUGCAAAUACAGUGUAAAUUAGUGAAGCAAUUAACCGAGGAUCGGGUGAGCGUAAAUCGACUCGUACAGUACUAUUGACUUGACACGGUGAAAGCGGGAAAAUUGAAUGUCUCCAAUACAAGAGAGGAAACGAAAUGACAAGAAAAAAAGAAAAAAAGGGGGUUAACGAAGUUUAAGAGGUGGAUACACUCGCUGGGUCUGACAUUACUCUCUUGACUCUCCUCAUCGCUUUCUUGCUUUUCUCCUUUUAUUUUUCCUCUUCCGAGGAUCGAGUAACCUAAAAUUACGCUGACGAUCGGCAUUUUAACGCCGCCGGGCAGCCAAUGCAAAUUCCUCAUGAUACCGAUCUUCACAACUACCACCAAAAUCAUCACCACCAGCAGCAGCACCGUCGCCGUCAUCAUCAACAUCACCAUCGGUAGGCGCUUUUCUCUACCCUCGCUUCUAAACCCCCUAAAUAACGAGAUAAAAAAAAUCAAUGUCUCGAGAGACUCGAAGCAAACACGCACACUUCUCUAUGUCACUCUCUUUCCCUCGACGUAGUGUCGAAUGACUGCGAGAGGAUCGCUAAAUUUAGCGGAAACAUUUCAAAACCUGGCAUUCUUUUUACGAAGGAAUUUAUCAUGGACGGUAGAGACGAAGAUUAAAUUAUGACGAUUAAUCGUCAAUUUCUGCAGGUUGAUUAAAGGUAAAUAGUAUCGUAUACUGCAGAAUGGAAUUUGCUUACUCGAUCAACGAACCGUUAACAAAAUUGACAUAAACCUAAUUGAGACUGAAUGGGUGAAAACGAUAUUCCAAUAAAGAAAGGGGGUUUAAAAUAUUAGUCGAAGCUAUUAGUACAACAGUACAAUAAAUUAACCGGCAAUUAUUUGAACGUUACGAAAUGUGAAGCGAGAGGGCUAAACUAAAGACCCUACUAUAUAUGGAACGUGUAAAUCCUAUCAGGUAAAGUUUGUCUGUCAUAGUUGCACGUUGCAGUUGCAGUUGCAGCUGCGACGGCAUAUGACAGGUUGAUUUGCACAAACGUAAUGCAGCCCGUGACCCCGUUUUUGCACGUUAAUUCUCCGGUGCAAAACCCAUAGGAAUUCUUGUCCACUUCAGAACAUUCGUUAGUUCGAUUUCUAUGAAUGAACGGGAGACGCCAGGUACAAAAAAAAGAGGAAAAAAAAUCAAAAUCGAAAAAGUUUCUAUCGCGCAUUAAAAAUUUUCAAACUAAUCUCAAAGCUUGACCUUAUCUGCGAUGCAUGGCCGUGGAACUUUGCCUAACGAGAAAUUUUCUCUUGGAUUCUUAAAAAAUACUUUACGAGGCAAUUCCUCGCGAAUAACUCAUUCAAUUAUAUUCGUUUAUUGCAAAAUCACUAUACUCGUCAAUUUUUAAUGCCACCCUGAUAACAAUAACUGUUGUAGAGGAACACGGCUGCCGUCCUUUAUUAUUACUCAUUAAUACGCUCUUUAAUAAGUUUAUUAAAGCCUUCCACCGUUUGACGUUAAGGGGAAAGGUUAACAAGGGGGUAGAAGGAUAGACUGAGCUUCUAUCGGUCACAGUGUUAGGGGUGGAGAGGGGUUGUAACGUUAAGCCACGUUUAUGGUAUCUAAGCUUUAAGCUCGACUUGACUUCUUAUGAAAUUUUAUGGCGACAUCGAGUUUCCUUCAUCCCUCACUUUUCCCCCGAUACUCACUCGUUAUCUUUGUCUAAGGCUCAAAAUUUUUAUCACGCGUCAUUUUUUUUAUACUGUUGCUAAAAUUCUUCUGGAACGCAACUACCAUAUCAAGUACGAAUUUCCAUUUGACAAGGGACCGCUCUUACUUCCAGCGCUGAUGGCUAUGUUCAUUAAGGCCCGAUUCAUCCCUCGCCUAUGCACCGUCAAUUUUUUCCCCCUAUUUUUCGUAAAAUCACAAUCGAGUGACGAACCGCCGGUACUUUUUUUACGAGGGACAUUCAACAGGCUCUAGUCGAGAGCGCCAGUAGCUCGACCUCGCACGAGUAUAUACAUUUACAAGUAUACAUAUAUACCUAAGUAUUAGCAGAAGAGAAAAUUUCUCUCAACUGCAAGCUACUAGAAUAUAAAUAUUUCUUAAUCCCAGCAAGCAAAAUAGUGGGAGGGUGGUAAAAAAAAAGUUGAAAAUAUAAAUUCAAUAUCCCAUGUUAAUAAUUUUCACAUAAAAGUGAAUUCUUGAUAAA